AUUUUACCUUCUUGAACCUGCUGUAUCUACUCAAAAGUGGAAGUUUUCACAGAUGAUGUUCAUCCUUCCUUUUGUGGAAACACUGGCUUCCAUUCUUCUCUUAAUCCUCUCCUUAUGGAGCCACACCAGGCAGAUGAAGCUACAUGGUAUUUAUUCCAGGGAUCCCAGCACAGAAGCCCAUGUAAGACCUAUAAAAGCUAUAAUUUCAUUUCUACUCCUAUUUAUUGUGCAUCAUUUCAUCAGUAUCAUACUAACAUUGGCCUGUCCUCUUCUAAACUUCG
rnacentral:sRNA from 1 species